rnacentral:sRNA from 1 species
UGCAUUUGCCAGCUGGCCGAGACUCUGGCUCUCAGUGGCUGUGGAGGUGUCAACUUGGAGUCCCAGUUGGGGAAUAUCACAGGCGUGCUGUUCCGGCUGGUGAACUCAGAUUGUUACUCCAUGCUGAACCACAGCUUAGCUCUGAGGGCUUUCAACAUACUGAGUAAUGAUCAGCUGGUGAUUUUGCUGCAAAACAUCGUCAAACCCGAGGAGCCUGCCAAGGCAGUGAGAGCCCUGCAAGUCUUCAGGGAUGUUUUUCUCUAGUGCCCCAGAGGGAGACCUUGAAGAAGGAGGUGAUGAGUUCAGUGGUUCUGCUGAUACAGAAAGAUCAGAGACUUCUUGACUCUGCCCCAGGGGAACAUCAUCAUCCACCACCUUGUUAGGCUCAGCCAGCCAGAGCCCUCAAAUGAAGAUACCCAGCAGAUGUGUGCCAAGAUUCUACAAAUGUUGGUUCUAUGCCAGCCAAGCAACAUCUUGGCCUUCGUGGUCCUCAGCAAGGCAGCCAGGAAAGUGGCUCUGCAGGCCCACUCCCUGGGGCCGCACCCUUACCUCAGCAGCUUCCAUGGCAGGCUUGUUCUCCCUGAAGCCCUGCAGAGAAAAGGCAUUUGGAACAAACACCCUAAAGCUGUUAUAUGCUCUGCAUCCCGUCGUCUGCCUGCACCCUGUCAUCAACUCGAAUGUAGGCUAACUGUGGAUGGGGGAGGUUCCCAAGAUGUUGCAGAUCCUGGAGGCUCUUAGGAAGUUCCUGUCACUCUCUGAGCUGGAUGGUAGAACAGAGCUGCUUCUCACCUGCUACUGGAGCAUGCUCUGCCUGCCCCCGUCAGAGGUGAUGCAGAAGGAGGAGUCCAGACCCACAGAGGGACAGGCCAGUGUGUUCUCAUCCUGAGACGUCUCCUCCUGACCCACCAUGGCUGCCUGGCUCUCCCGGGAGUGGCACCUACAAUGUUCAAGAUAGAGAAAAACAUCAAGACCUG